UGGGGAAUUUUGGACGAAUUGGGCGAAAGCCUGAAUCCAGCAAUGCCGCGUGUGUGAAGAAGGCCUUCGGGUUGUAAAGCACUUUUGUCCGGAAAGAAAUCCUUGGCUCUAAUACAGUCGGGGGAUGACGGUACCGGAAGAAUAAGCACCGGCUAACUACGUGCCAGCAGCCGCGGUAAUACGUAGGGUGCAAGCGUUAAUCGGAAUUACUGGGCGUAAAGCGUGCGCAGGCGGUUUGCUAAGACCGAUGUGAAAUCCCCGGGCUCAACCUGGGAACUGCAUUGGUGACUGGCAGGCUAGAGUAUGGCAGAGGGGGGUAGAAUUCCACGUGUAGCAGUGAAAUGCGUAGAGAUGUGGAGGAAUACCGAUGGCG
rnacentral:rRNA from 1 species